UAUAAGCUUCAAGGACAAGGAGUUUGUCACUACUUGCUGGAGGAUUUAAUCUUAAAGAAUGACUCUUUCUCCUGGCUUCCAUCAUGCUCUAGUUGACAAAAAAGCCUGCAAAGUUAUUGUAAUCAUUAGAUACCUUUGUUUGUUGGCUUAAGUGCAGGAAAUUGUAUUAAUGUUUUUGUCACCACAAGAGUGAUUCCACGGAGGGCUCUGAGAAACGUCAGAGCUUAGGCAGGAAGAAUGGAAGGUGACACACAAAAACAGAGCACCCAUUUCUAGAUUGAUUCAACAGGACUGGAACUCUUCGUGAUUCAUAAGAGCGUUUGAUGUUCUAAACAAUUAACUUUUUUUUCCCCUUAUGGAAACGGACAUAAGCUUUAAAAAGGACAGACUCACUUCUACACAGUCUCCAAAGGAAUGCUCUGGUCAUCAGGGAUUGGCAUUCCAGAAGUUCUGUCCUGGAUGUUGUGUUGCAAAGGCAAAGGGAUUACUGGAAACUGGUUUUGCUGCCAACAUCAGUAUCCUUUGGCAGGUUGGAGCGUGUGGAGUGAAUUUGGGGGAGAUGUUUGUAAGAGAGGAAAUUUAGACUCAUUCUGCCAGAGGAACAAGACAAGCGGGGUAAGGGCAAAUGGAACAGAGAAUUCCAGAGAAAGAACAGAGAAGAGCUGAGAAGAUUCAAGCAGUUAACUUCACUUCCCUUUGGGAAGCCUUUCAGAAAGGUUGCUCUGAAAGCACCUCUGAGCCCUGGUCAUCCUUCUGUGAAUCCAGACCCCCUGAAUCCAGCAGAAGACAACAGGAAUGGAUAGGACUUUUGAUAUAAAGCUAUCCAUCUCAAGAAGAUUUUCUCUACAUCCCUCCAAAUUCAGUUCCUGAAAUUCAAAUCAUAAGUAGGACAGUUAGAAGUCAGGGCAGCUCUCACAAAUGACCCCAGUGGGUCAGGCAGGCAAAGCCUGACUCUGUAGGAUUUGGGGAGAAGGGGUUCAAUUGUUAGUUUUUAGGAACUUCCUAUUUUCCAACUUUCCGGAUACCUUAUCCCUCAAUCUCAAAAACUUACUUUACUUUACUUUACCCUUUGUGUGUUCCUCCAAAUAAAUAGCUGUUCUAUAGAUCUAGUGCCUGCUCA
rnacentral:lncRNA from 1 species